AUUCUGGUUGAUCCUGCCAGUAGUUAUAUGCUUGUCUCAAAGAUUAAGCCAUGCAUGUCUAAGUACACACGAAUUAAAAGUGAAACCGCAAAAGGCUCAUUAUAUCAGUUAUGGUUCCUUAGAUCGUUAACAGUUACUUUGGAUAACUGUGGUAAUUCUAGAGCUAAUACAUGCAAUUAAAACAUGAACCUUUAUGGGACAUGUGCUUUUAUUAGGCUAAAACCAAGCGAUCGCAAGAUCGUUAUAUUGGUUGAACUCUAGAUAACAUGCAGAUCGUAUGGUCAUGUACCGACGACAGAUCUUUCAAAUGUCUGCCCUAUCAACUUUUGAUGGUAGUAUCUAGGACUACCAUGGUUGCAACGGGUAACGGGGAAUCAGGGUUCGAUUCCGGAGAGGGAGCCUGAGAAACGGCUACCACAUCUAAGGAAGGCAGCAGGCGCGUAAA
rnacentral:ncRNA from 1 species